rnacentral:lncRNA from 1 species
AUUCUGGUUUCAUAUAUGUCAAUUUUGACCUAGUUGUACUAUGAACUGGACUGAGCGACCUUCUGUAACAUUGUAGCCCUAUCUCUUAGCUUCGAAACGGUGUAUCUUACACCCCCAUCCGAUAAUCGUAGUGCCAAUGGUGCCAAAAUCACUAAAGGACAUCAAAUCUGUUUUGGGUUUUAGGGCUUGGAUUCGGACAAGAUAAUGGUUUAUGACGAAUGGGUUCUGAGCCGUGGAGGUGAGUGACCUCAAACUACUUCUAAAGUUAUUUAUGAACCGUUUCUUACAUUAUUACUUUUGAACUGUUUCCAAAGUUACUUUUGAAAUGUUUUCUUGCAUAUCAUGUGUGCUGGCAUUUGAGUGUGCCUUGUUUGCUAUAUUUCUUGACUUCAUGACUUGUAUUUUGGUUGAUAACGUGUUAAGCGCUUAUAAUGAUUUUCAAAACGAGUUUUCGAGACGAGUGUGUAGUACUUUAUCGCACUCGAUCUCGAUAAAUGUGAAAUUUUCGAUUGAAAUGUUACUUGCGCAUGAAUGUAAGCCUUUUGGGCUAAACUGGCCAUUGCCCCUUGUUACCGGUCGUCUUGAACCAGAAGCGGACUCGGUCAGGCGAUUAGGAACUUGGGUGAACGUUUGGUAUACUCGAGUAUUACCUAUGUAGGUUGGUGGAGCGUGGCCAAAAGCCUGGGACGGGGUGAAUGAAAUGAAAUGAAUGACCAAAUGAGCGAGGAAAUGUCAGGAGAAUGAAUGUAUCCUUUCAUGAAUGUUACUAUCGCUUUCCAUUGUAAAUGUUUCUUGAAUUAUUGAUAAUCCAUAUUUACUGUUUUGCAAAUGAUGUAGUUGUUUCCGGAUUUAUCAUUUAAUUUAUGACAUCAUUGCUAUAUGACAUCAUUGAAAUAAACUAUUGUGAAACCGAUUUGAUUAAUGAUUUUCUGGUUACUCGCUGAGCUUUUAGCUCACCCCAAAAACUAUUUUAUUCCCCUCCACAGGGCUCGAGAAAGGAAGUGCUUGUAGCACGUAUUCAUGUGACCGGAUGGAUUAUCUCAUGUAUGGUUUGAGUUUUGGAUUUCAUCUUGUGUAAUAGUUGUUAUUAGGGAUUGUAUGAACGUUUGGACUUGAGCGGGUUUGGACUUGUAGUACUUAUUCACGUGACUGGAUGGCAUAUAUCUUGUACAGUUUGGAUUUGGAAUCAUUUGAUGUAUAAUUUGGGGAAUUGUUUCUGCUUCGCUUAUAACAUGUAAUUAUUGGAGAAUUUGAUGUAUAUUUGAGAUUUAUAUUGUAAUUCAUUUGAGGAUUAUAGUGAACGACUGAGUCCCGACGAGAGUUGGGCAGGCGGCCCGCCGAACCCUUUGGUUCGCCUUAGGGAGAGGUGGGGCUGUCACAGGUGGUAUCACAGCCUAGGUUUCAGAUCUCUGUAGUGUAUCCUAGGCUUGAAGUUUAGGAUGCCGGACUGUGGGUUUGAUUUGACUCUUGAGAGAUUUGUGCGGGAUGUCUUGACUUGAUUGGUACAAGAGAGAAUGUCGAGGACGACAUUCUUUUAAGGAGGGGAGAUUGUGACGCCCCGAAAAGAAUGAGUUUGAGAACCCGGAAAUUUUCUAAUUUUCUAGGGUUUAUUUUAUUUAAUCACCCGCCUUUUCUACAUUUUCUUUAUUAGAAAAAUUCCCCAGAUAAAGUUUAUGAGUAAAUAUAGUUUUAAGAUGAUUUUUCUAGUAUUGAGUAGUUUUUGAGAAAUAAAGAGCGUAUAUCGGACGUGGGACCCGCUAGUGCGAAAAGUUCUGAAAAAUUCGGCCAGUUGGGUUAAGUUUUGGAUACUGGGUUUAAUUUACCGGAUGUUAUGAGAUAAUUAGAGGUUGCUUAGAUGGUUAAUGAUGGAGAGACAAAAGGAUAAGUGUUACAAUUAAAAGGUGCUAGGUGUCGCGACCCGAUUGGAGUUGGAUUUUGACUUAACUUUCUUACCUUUACUAAAUACCAAAAUUUGACCAAAAAUAUCCCAUUUCUUCUUCCUUCUUGGCUGAACACUUGAGAGAAAGAAAAAGAGGAAAAGUUUCAUCUUCAACUUCAAAUCCAAGCCAAAUCUUAAGUUCCAACCAUUGGAAACUCAAAUUACUCCAUACAAAGUGCUAGUUAAGGAAGAUUAGGAACUUGAAUGGAAGGAUUUUUGGAGGACAAAGCCUAACCUCCUACCUUUCUUGAGGUUUUAAGGUAUUUUGCCAAGAACAUCCUCUUUACUUCAAUUAAUUGCUUAUUAGUGGUUUUUAGUUGUUUUAGAUGUUGUUUUGUGGAAGAUUAGCACUUGAAUGCAUGAAUUCCAGAUUAGGGUUUCACUAACCCCUAUUCUGCCCGUUUCUGUUUGACCAGGUUAGAGGCCGAAUUGGCCUUAGCACAAAACAUGAAAGUUGUAGAGAAUGAUGUUUUCUAGUUACCUAUAAAUUUUCAGCUCAAUCUGAGCUCGGUAUCCUGUGAAAAGAUCGAAAUACCCCUGCUAUCCUGUUUCUAUCCGAGAAUAGUAAUCAGCUUUGGUAAUUGAGUAGUUUGACUGGGAAUACUAUCGAUUUGGUUGUUGAUGUCUUCUUAGGAAUUAUAGCCUUGUAUCUUAGCUUUCAAAUGGCUUUGGAAUCACUUGAAUUGGAGUUGUAUAUGCUGAGAUAAUUCGGAAAUACCCAGACUGGUCUAGAUAGGAGUUCAACGAACAGGGUUAUCUUUUCACCCAAUCUGACCGUGACCUUUCACCAUGAUCCUUACCGAAUUAGAUUUUGGCCAAAACAUGAAAGUUGUACCCAAUGGUAUAAACUAGUAGCCUACAAAAUUUCAGAUUGAUCCGACCACUGUAGCAUGUGAAAUGACUGAAAUACCCUGGACUGUCCAUGAAACCUGUUUCGCGCCCAGAAUUCUGUUUUUGUGUAGUUUUCCAUUUUUUAUCAUGAAAAUGCAUGAUUUGGCCAUGGAGGUCUUCAUAAGAAAUGUAGGGUUGUGUUUUAGCUUCGAAACACCAUAAGAUACACUUCAAUCGGACUUCGGUAGCCUGAAUUAUUGCUAUUUAACAAUUGUACGGUUAGCCAACCUGUUUGUGAGAUUCUGGUUUCAUAUAUGUCAAUUUUGACCUAGUUGUACUAUGAACUGGACUGAGCGACCUUCUGUAACAUUGUAGCCCUAUCUCUUAGUUUCGAAACGGUGUAUCUUACACCCCCAUCCGAUAAUCGUAGUGCCAAUGGUGCCAAAAUCACUAAAGGACAUCAAAUCUGUUUUGGGUUUUAGGGCUUGGAUUCGGACAAGAUAAUGGUUUAUGACGAAUGGGUUCUGAGCCGUGGAGGUGAGUGACCUC